rnacentral:rRNA from 1 species
GACGAACGCUGGCGGCGUGCCUAAUACAUGCAAGUAGAACGCACAGUUUAUACCGUAGCUUGCUACACCAUAGACUGUGAGUUGCGAACGGGUGAGUAACGCGUAGGUAACCUGCCUGGUAGCGGGGGAUAACUAUUGGAAACGAUAGCUAAUACCGCAUAAUAUUGAUUAUUGCAUGAUAAUUGAUUGAAAAAUGCUAUUGCAUCACUACCAGAUGGACCUGCGUUGUAUUAGCUAGUAGGUGAGGUAACGGCUCACCUAGGCGACGAUACAUAGCCGAGCUGAGAGGGUGAACGGCCACACUGGGACUGAGACACGGCCCAGACUCCUACGGGAGGCAGCAGUAGGGAAUCUUCGGCAAUGGACGAAAGUCUGACCGAGCAACGCCGCGUGAGUGAAGAAGGGUUUCGGAUCGUAAAGCUCUGUUGUAAGAGAAGAACGGGUGUGAGAGUGGAAAGUUCACACUGUGACGGUAUCUUAACAGAAAGGGACGGCUAACUACGUG